GUUAAGUAUUGAGCAUACCUAGGCAAACUAAUGGUGAUUAGGUAAAAUGCCAAGGGCUACUGCCAAGCAAAGACAUAGUACUACAAGUAGGGUAACAAAUUCGAAAGAGCUACCAGUAGUAAGCAGGAGUGUGUGUAUUUUGGUCCAAAAAGUCUUCACUUUUCUGUUGUUUACAUUUCUGGUCUUCCUCCUCUUGGACUAGUUGUUUUCAUCUCUAGCUCUCUCUCUUCUUCUCUCCUCUCUAAUUGAACUCACUCACUGACUCCUUCAGUCCCCUUCUCCCUCCUUUUCAUUUCUCUCCUCCUCUUUAAACCCACACUUCACUUCAUUACCUGAUCAUCUCUUUUCAUGGCAAGCUGAAAAUUCUACUAUACAUGGAUUCCUCCUCUUUAUACAUAAUUUUACUCCUUCACUUACUCCUUUCUCCAUCAUUUUGCUUGGACAGCCAAGACUCAACAGAGGGAUUGACGUUUGAAGAGAAGACUAGACUGGGUUCAACUCCUCCGAGCUGUCACAACAAGUGCAACCAGUGUCACCCCUGCAUGGCAGCCCAGGUUCCCAGCUUAACGACUCAGAAUGGGCCAGUUCAGCCCAGGCCUCGUCGACAAGCUACUACCCAUCCUUUGGACUACUACGAUCCCACACCAUCACCGGUUGGUAACAAGUACUCUAAUUACAAGCCACUUGGCUGGAAAUGCAGAUGCAGAAAUCAUUUUUACAAUCCUUAGAUUUCAAUUUCUCAAAUAUUGUUAUUAGAUUGUUGGUAAAAUGUUUUUUUUUUCUUGAAUAUGUUCUCUGUUUUCGGUUACUGUAUAUGUAGGAGUAAAUAGGUAGGGUCCUCUGGGAAUCUAACUGUGACUUAUUAUAGGCUCAUUUAUUAAGUGUAGCAGUUGUUGGACUAGAAUUUAAUACAUGUGCAUACCUUUUCACGAAA